CAUUGACUAGGUUUCUUAUAUCUGCACUAGAAUAUCCAACUGUCUGAAACACAAGUUGUACAGGAAGAGAAAAGUAAAAUACGGUAAAUGGCUUUACCACUCAUUGAGCAUAUUUAAGCAACUAUCUCAGUACUAAGUGCCGUGUAAGGCAAGUUAAAAGGUAACUAAAACUCGACAAGAGAAUACAGACGAAGAGAGUA
rnacentral:lncRNA from 1 species